rnacentral:rRNA from 1 species
GACGAAACGUGCGAACGUUGUUCGGAAUCACUGGGCUUAAAGGGCGCGUAGGCGGGCUGACAAGUCUGGGGUGAAAUGCCGCGGCUCAACCGUGGAACUGCCUUAGAUACUGUCGGCCUCGAGGAAGGUAGGGGCAUGCGGAACUGUAGGUGGAGCGGUGAAAUGCGUUGAUAUCUACAGGAACUCCGGUGGCGAAAGCGGCGUGCUGGACCUUUUCUGACGCUGAGGCGCGAAAGCUAGGGGAGCAAACGGG